ensembl:lncRNA
AUUUUAUCCGAAUCGAAUAGUACUCAUUUUAUAAAAGUUAUUUUACCAUUUUUAAUAAAAAAAAGUUAUGAUACAAAUGUUUUAAUAAAACAUGGUUCUAUUAUAUGCAUUUCUAAAAUUCUGUUAAAAUUAAAAACAAGUUUGAAUGAAAAAUUACAAAACGAAAUAAAACAAAUAAUUGUUUAUAGUGAAAAAAAUAGAAUCUAUAGAUUUAAAAAAGGAGAAAUACUUAGACAUGCUUUGUGUUUAUUAAUACAAAGUAUAUGUCAAUGUACGUAUUUUUUAGUAAAAAAAAAUACGUACUCUUUUUUUAUGGAUAUUUUACAUAAUAAUUUAUUUCAUUAUAAUGAAAUUAUACAAUUUGAAGCUUCGAAAAUUUUUUCUUAUAUGCCUAUAUAUAUAAUAGAAAAACAAAUUGCAGUUGAAUAUGUAUAUAAUGUGUUUAUUAAAAUCAUACAAGCGAAAGACAAUUUUUUACAUUUAAAAGGAUACCUUAUUAUGUUAUGCUUUAUAAAUAAAAAUAUUAUUACACAAAUUCCAUUACAUUUAAUUCGAAUUUUAUAUUAUAUUCUUAAAAAAAAUUCCACUUCUUAUAAAAUAAAAAUGUCAUUGUUAAAAAAUAAAUGGGAACUACAAAAAGAAUCAGACGUAGGUUUUAGUUCGGACAAAAAACAAUUAAAAACAAAUGAUUUUAUUAAAAAUGAUAAGUAUAUUUUUAAACGUAUCCAUUUUGAAAAUUACAACAUUGAUUAUAAUAUGAAGGUAUUUGCCCUUUUGGCUUUAUUUAAUGUAGUUGAUAAGCUUAGGGAGAAAUAUAUUCAGGAGUUUAUAAAAAUUUAUGAAAAAUGUACUGUGAGUUUUUCGGGUUUGAUUGAUUCGAAGGGUGCGUUUAGCAGUGGUGGUGGGAGUAGUAGCAGUGGUGGUGGGAGUAGUAGUAGCAGUGGUGGUGGGAGUAGUAGUAGCAGUGAUGGUGGGAGUAGUAGUAGCAGUGGUGGUGACGGUAGCAGUGGUGGUGACGGUAGCAGUGGUGGUGACGGUAGCAGUGGUGGUGACGGUAGCAGUGGUGGUGACGGUAGCAGUGGUGGUGACGGUAACAGUGAUGGUGCUAGUAAAAAGUUAAAAAAAAAAUGUCGAAAUACAAGUUUUUAUUUAAAGAAAGAAGUUGAAUUUGUAAUAAAAAAACUUGAUUGGGAAAAAGUAAAAGAAGAAAGUAAAAAUAUGAAUAAACAAAUAUUUGAAUUCAAUUUAAAUAUAAACAAAAUAGCUAGUAUAUUAAUUUUAUAUUUACAAGAGUAUGUUUUUGAAAAUGAUAUAGGUGAUUCUCAUGUUUUUGUUCGAGAAAUAUGUUUGGGCCUUACUGCUUAUUUGUUAACUUCAUAUCCACUCUACUUUUUUCAGAGGGAACCUCAAAAAAAAAAAGUCAUAAAUAAAGAUGUUCAAUUAGAAGCGGUACUAGAAAAUAUAAAAUAUGAUCAUACAGACGGAACAAACAAACAUAGGCAAAAGGAGAAUACCAUCUUAGCCACAAUGAAAAACAGUAUGCACACUGAUACAAGACAAACUGUUAUCGAAACGGAUAUGUUAAUAAAAGGAACAAGCGAAACAAAAGGAACAAGCGAAACAAAAGUAACAGGCGAAACAAAAGGAACAAGCGAAACACAAGGAAUAAACAGUGUACUGGAUAAAAAUUACUUUUAUGAAGAGUUUAACUCGGAUGCUAGUUACGAAGAUGAAGAGGAUGAUAAUAAAAUAGAAAUGACAUUAAUAGAUGAAAAAAGAAAAGAUAUAAAAAUAAAUGAAGCAAAAAAAACAGAAAAAAAAAAAAAAAAUUAUAUUUAUGUAUGUUCUAUUUGAAAUAAAAAAAAAAUAUAUAAAUAUAUUUAUUCA